CAGCAGCCACGGGAAUACGAAGGGGGCUAGCGUUGUUCGGAUUUACUGGGCGUAAAGGGCGCGUAGGCGGACUGAUAAGUCAGGGGUGAAAUCCCAAGGCUCAACCUUGGAACUGCCUUUGAUACUGUUUGUCUUGAGUUCGAGAGAGGUAAGUGGAACUGCGAGUGUAGAGGUGAAAUUCGUAGAUAUUCGCAAGAACACCAGUGGCGAAGGCGGCUUACAGGCUCGAAACUGACGCUGAGGCGCGAAAGCGUGGGGAGCAAACAGGAUUAGAUACCCGCGUAGUCCCUGUCUCUUAUAC
rnacentral:rRNA from 1 species